AGGGAAUCUUCCCCCAUGGACGCAAGUCUGAUGGAGCAACGCCGCGUGAGUGCACAAGGUUCUCGGAUCGUAAAGCCCUGUUGUUGGUGAAGAAGGAUAGUGGUAGUAACUGGCCUUUAUUUGACGGUAAUCAACCAGGAAGUCAAGGCUAACUGCUGGCCAGCAGCCGCGGUAAUACGUUAGGUGGCAAGCGUUGUCCGGAUUUAUUGGGCGUAAAGCGAGCGCAGGCGGAAAAAUAAGUCUGAUGUGAAAGCCCUCGGCUUAACCGAGGAACUGCAUCGGAAACUGUUUUUCUUGAGUGCAGAAGAGGAGAGUGGAACUCCAUGUGUAGCGGUGGAAUGCGUAGAUAUAUGGAAGAACACCAGUGGCGAAGGCGGCUCUCUGGUCUGCAACUGACGCUGAGGCUCGAAAGCAUGGGUAGCGAACA
rnacentral:rRNA from 1 species